rnacentral:rRNA from 1 species
ACAGCAGCAGCCGCGGUAAUACGAAGGGUGCAAGCGUUAAUCGGAAUUACUGGGCGUAAAGCGCACGUAGGCGGCUUGGUAAGUUAGAGGUGAAAGCCUGGAGCUCAACUCCAGAAUUGCCUUUAAGACUGCCGAGCUAGCAGGUGAGAGAGGUAAGUGGAAUUCCGAGUGUAGAGGUGAAAUUCGUAGAUAUUCGGAAGAACACCAGUGGCGAAGGCGGCUUACUGGCUCAUACUGGACGCUGAGGUGCGAAAGCGUGGGGAGCAAACAGGAUUAGAUACCCGCGUAGUCCCUGUCUCUUAUAC